UACGUAGGGUGCAAGCGUUAAUCGGAAUUACUGGGCGUAAAGCGUGCGCAGGCGGUUUUGUAAGUCUGUCGUGAAAUCCCCGGGCUCAACCUGGGAAUUGCGAUGGAGACUGCAAGGCUAGAAUCUGGCAGAGGGGGGUAGAAUUCCACGUGUGAGCAGUGAAAUGCGUAGAGAUAGUGGGAGGAACACCGAUGGCGAAGGCAGCCCCCUGGGUCA
rnacentral:rRNA from 1 species